rnacentral:rRNA from 1 species
AACGAACGCUGGCGGCAGGCCUAACACAUGCAAGUCGAGCGCGCCUUCGGGUGAGCGGCGGACGGGUUAGUAACGCGUGGGAACGUGCCCUUCUCUACGGAAUAGCCUCUGGAAACGGAGAGUAAUACCGUAUACGCCCUUUGGGGGAAAGAUUUAUCGGAGAAGGAUCGGCCCGCGUUAGAUUAGGUAGUUGGUGGGGUAACGGCCUACCAAGCCUACGAUCUAUAGCUGGUUUUAGAGGAUGAUCAGCAACACUGGGACUGAGACACGGCCCAGACUCCUACGGGAGGCAGCAGUGGGGAAUCUUGCACAAUGGAGGAAACUCUGAUGCAGCGAUGCCGCGUGAGUGAAGAAGGCCUUUGGGUUGUAAAGCUCUUUCGUCGGGGAAGAAAAUGACUGUACCCGAAUAAGAAGGUCCGGCUAACUUCGUGCCAGCAGA